rnacentral:rRNA from 1 species
AGCAGCCGCGGUAAUUCCAGCUCCAAUAGCGUAUAUUAAAGUUGUUGCAGUUAAAAAGCUCGUAGUUGAAUUUCGAGACCGGUUUAUUGGUCGUGCUUUUGUACGUACUGGUAUUAUUGGUUUCUCCUUUCUGACGAAUCUUAAUGCCAUUAAUUUGGUGUUUUGGGGAAUCAGGACUGUUACUUUGAAAAAAUUAGAGUGUUUAAAGCAGGCUCACGCUUGAAUACAUUAGCAUGGAAUAACGGAAUAGGACGUUUGAUUCUAUUUUGUUGGUUUCUAGGAUCGACGUAAUGAUUAAUAGGGAUAGUUGGGGGCAUUAGUAUUCAAUUGUCAGAGGUGAAAUUCUUGGAUUUAUUGAAGACUAACUACUGCGAAAGCAUUUGCCAAGGAUGUUUUCAUUAAUCAAGAACGAAAGUUAGGGGAUCGAAGACGAUCAGAUACCGUCGUAGUCUUAACCAUAAACUAUGCCGACUAGGGAUCGGAUGAUGUUAAUUUUUAAUGUAC